GGUUGAUCCUGCCGGACCCGACUGCUAUCAGAGUGGGACUAAGCCAUGCGAGUCAACGCCGCAAGGCGUGGCAUACGGCUCAGUAACACGUAGUCAACAUGCCCAGGGGACGUGGAUAACCUCGGGAAACUGAGGAUAAACCGCGAUAGGCCAAGGUUUCUGGAAUGGACCAUGGCUGAAACCUAUACGGCCCCUGGAUUGGACUGCGGCCGAUCAGGCUGUUGGUGAGGUAAUGGCCCACCAAACCUGUAACCGGUACGGGCUUUGAGAGAAGGAGCCCGGAGAUGGGCACUGAGACAAGGGCCCAGGCCCUAUGGGGCGCAGCAGGCGCGAAACCUCUGCAAUAGGCGAAAGCUUGACAGGGUUACUCUGAGUGAUGCCCGCUAAGGGCAUCUUUUGGCACCUCUAAAAAUGGUGCAGAAUAAGGGGUGGGCAAGUCUGGUGUCAGCCGCCGCGGUAAUACCAGCACCCCGAGUGGUCGGGACGAUUAUUGGGCCUAAAGCAUCCGUAGCUUGUUCUGCAAGUCCUCCGUUAAAUCCACCUGCUCAACAGAUGGGCUGCGGAGGAUACUACAGGGCUAGGAGGCGGGAGAGGCAAGCGGUACUCAGUGGGUAGGGGUAAAAUCCUCUGAUCCACUGAAGACCACCAGUGGCGAAGGCGGCUUGCCAGAACGCGCUCGACGGUGAGGGAUGAAAGCUGGGGGAGCAAACCGGAUUAGAUACCCGGGUAGUCCCAGCUGUAAACGAUGCAGACUCGGUGAUGGGUUGGCUUUGAGCCAACCCAGUGCCGCAGGGAAGCCGUUAAGUCUGCCGCCUGGGGAGUACGGUCGCAAGACUGAAACUUAAAGGAAUUGGCGGGGGAGCACCACAAGGGGUGAAGCCUGCGGUUCAAUUGGAGUCAACGCCGGGAAUCUUACCGGGGGCGACAGCAGAGUGAAGGUCAAGCUGAAGACUUUACCAGACAAGCUGAGAGGAGGUGCAUGGCCGUCGCCAGCUCGUGCCGUGAGGUGUCCUGUUAAGUCAGGUAACGAGCAAGAU
rnacentral:rRNA from 1 species